UACAGAGGGUGCAAGCGUUGUUCGGAAUUAUUGGGCGUAAAGCGCGUGUAGGCGGCAUGGCAAGUCGGGUGUGAAAGCCCUCAGCUCAACUGAGGAAGUGCGCCCGAAACUGCUUUGCUUGAGUGCUGGAGAGGGUCGCGGAAUUCCCCAAGUAGAGGUGAAAUUCGUAGAUAUGGGGAGGAACACCGGUGGCGAAGGCGGCGACCUGGACAGUAACUGACGCUGAGACGCGAAAGCGUGGGGAGCAAACAGG
rnacentral:rRNA from 1 species